rnacentral:sRNA from 1 species
CCGGUAGCGCUGGAAAUUGAAGUCCUCUGUUUACCCACACAAGCGGAGGAACAGUCAAAGCUUCCUCACUCCGCUGCGGAAUGACCUGAACAGUGACCUUGGAGACCACCUUCCUGAGGCAGGAAAGGUCAGUGAGCCUCCACCAGGGUCUGCUCAGGGUAUUCU